CUCAGACCAUGAAGGAUGCUAUGGCUGCCCUUAACCAAGAAGUAAUGCAGCUUGGUCAGUCACUCUACAACCAGCCUGGUGCUGCACCAGGUGCUGGUCCAGCACCUGGCGGUGCUGAUGGACCUUCAGAAUCAUCAUCUGGGAAGGGACCUGAUGGAAAUGACGUAAUUGAUGCUGAUUUCACCGACAGCAAGUGAGCAUAGAAGAGCAAUUUUGAGGCUAUAUUUAAUUUUCAGCUUUUAUACUCUUGCUUAGGUUGUGUAUAAGGGAUUU
rnacentral:lncRNA from 1 species